GGGAACAGAUAUUCAGCAGGGGAAAGCAUUUACAGUACAUUCUGGCUGAACUCCAUUCUCAAACAGCUCCUCUGGUUUUUAUGUUGCAGCAGAAAGCCUUUGCCCUGCCUGAGGAGAAAGAAAUGCUUUCACAUCAGAAUACAAGCUGAGGACGUUUCAUCAGUUCAUGAUGAGGAGAACAUUGAUGACAAAGUCUCUGCAGAGCCCUCUGAAAUAUGCUAUGCUACCCUUGACCAUAUUAUUAGAGGAAAUGACAUUAAAGUACACAGAACAAGCACUACCACCAUCUAUGAAGAUGUCAUCAUUAUUCCGAAAAGAGUGAGCUCUUCCAGCUUCCAGUACAACAGUGACUAUGAUGAUGUCGUGAAA